rnacentral:lncRNA from 1 species
CUUAGGACUACUCUGUGGGUCAGGAAUUCAGGAAGGCUUCAUUGGGUGAUUUGUCUUUGACCUAUGUGGUAAUAACUGGGAUGGCUGGGGCCAGAGGAUCCGCUUAGAAGAUAGCUUCUUCACUCAUACCCAUAGCCCCUCAGUGUUCUGUGGCCUCUCUCUCUUUACCUGGCAUCCUUAGGUUGCCUGCAGGUGGCUUGAGUUUCUCUCAGUGUGGUGGUUUCAGGGCAGUCAAUUUGCUUACAUGGAAGCUGACUUUCUCAGUGGGACCAUUUCAAGAGUGAUUGUUCUAAGAGAUCAAGGCAGAAGUUUCAAGGCUUUAUAUGAACUGGCUUCAGAAAUCACAUAGUAUCAUUUCUGGUACACUCUGUUGGUUACACAGGGUCAACUCAAAUUCACUAUGGGAAGGGAUGACAAAAGGAAGAGAGUACAGGGAGGCAUGGUUCAUUGGAAGUUAUUUUGGAGAUCAGCUAUCAUAGCAAUUGAUUGCCCACGAUUUUCUGUUUUUUGUUUUUUUUCCUUAAAUCUCCUGACCUACUGAAAUUUGCCAGGUUAAAAUCUCAGAGCUUACUGACCCUGGGAAAUGCUAUCCAAAGAGAUCAUGUAGAGCUGGUAUCAGAGGAUUUUUCAAGGUUAUUUUAGGAGCUGGUGCAUCCUGACAUUCAAAGAAUACACACAUUUCUUUUCACUAAGUUCUCAUAUAAAUGCCAUGACAGGCAGUGAGAUAGACUUAGAGUAUUCCUGGCCUCAGGAGGUGGGACUUCCAUGAGGAACUGCUAUCUUAACCUCUAUCCUGUUCACUGCCUCUCCACAAAGGAGAAAGGGUCUAAGAUUUUAAAUAUGUGCCAGGCACACACUUAGCACAUACAUACAUGUUAGUGGUGAAUCCUCCCAAAGACCGGUGAGAUAGACUGUAUUAUACUCAUUUCAUAAUUGAAGAACCUCUGGUUCUGCUAAGCCACUAGCCUGAUGUCACACAGCAGGUAAGUGGCAACCCUGAGCUUUAAACCUAAAUCUUCUGGUUUUAAAGCACAUUGUUCUUCUACAGCACAAGAAACUGAACUGAUGUAGCAUUAUUCUGUACUUUAUUAAGGUUCAAAUUUCACUGAGCAUAUAACUGUAUACUAACUACUGUCGAAAUAUAUUUUGAAUUAGAAAUGUACAUACCUGUAAGUCUCAAAAAAAUUCUAUCAGCUUUGGCCUGGGCUCUCCAGAGUGCUCUUGGAGAUGUGCAACACUUUCCAAUUAGCAUUCUCUUUGGCCUGAUGGAUGAGGAGAAUGGGGAUGGUCAGCUAUCUCUUUUAUCCAAAUAUGAGGUCCCCAGUGUUAGAGGUCUCACUCUGGCUUUCAGUGGGGCAAAUGUUCAUGAGCACACUACCGUUGAGCAUGGCUUGCUUAGUGAGCCCAUAGGAAAUCAGGAAAUUCACAAUGAUAAAGAAUGAUGGAAUAACUGAGAUGCAUGGUAUUUUUCUUAGACCUCUUAAGAGACUGGCAACAAAUUGGGGCUUGAUGGAAAUUAAUUUACAUGAGUCAAGAAAAACCAGAGGACAGGUAGUAGGAUUGAUAAUGUCAAAGUAGGAGGAGAAGAGGAAGAAUCAUAUAUUAAAGGAGAGGUGAGAAAUGGCCAUACAUUGCAAUUGGCUCAAGGCAGAGAAAAGUUAAUUCUACACUUUAUAAUAGCACUACCAAUUAUUCACUGUCGGUACUAAGAAAUAUUUGUCAGCUCUCAACUUGUAAGUGGAGAUAAAUCUUACAUGUUCAGUUGUGUCAGGUUAUCAUCUGGUCUACACUAAUUGAAUUUGUAAUAGACCAGCCUGAGUCCUGACUCUCCACAAAGCUUCUCCUGACUACUCCCUCACGUGCUGAUUCAUGAACUUACGUCGUUACCCUACGGAGCUUUAUCUGAUUAAUUCACUAGAUUAUGAGUCUUGAGGCAACAGUUCUUUCACUAUACUUUUCCACCUCCCUACCCUUGCUCAACAUGUACACAUACACACUCACAUGCUCAUACACACACACUCACACACACAUUCACACUCACACAAUAUACUCACACACUCACACACCACACACUCACAGGCACAUACCCUUUUCUUCCAGCACAGGCCUAAAUCCUUAGGAAGCACAUAAUAAACACUGGAUGAAAGAACUGGGUUCCACACACUCAAAAACAUUUAAUGCAGAACAAUGCAUAGCCGUUAACUAAUUCAUCGAUGAUGCCAGUCUAAUUUCAGGUGUUAUUGCUAGGCCUGUUAAGCUUGGCCAGUUAGCUAUCAGCUCUGUUGAUGUUUGUAGCUUCUCUUAGAUGAACAUUUCCCAGAGUGAUUGCUCCGGAAUGUUACUUUGGAAUGUUCACACAUUAUAUGCAGUGUUGGGAGAUCUACAGUUCAUACUAGUAUAUUAAAUGCCCUGAGAAGACCUGCAGGAAAGGAAGCCAUUGUCUGAGUGAACAUUUUCCAAAUUAAUUUAUUUGACCAUAGGUUAUCUCUUAAGACAGCAGCACCUAUUUAUUUUCCAGGAAAGUAGUGUUUCCUGAAAUACAUUUCAGGAAAUCAUGGCCCACAAACCCCUGCUUUGAUUCUUUAUCUUCCUUGUUCUUGUGCUUGGUACUAUCUACCUCCCUGUGCCUCAGGCCCAGGGCUUACCUUCUUGCUUCUGAGUGGAUAGAAGCUCUGAGAACCUACAGAAAGAUGCCCCUUUAGGCUAACUUAGCAUUGUUUCAGGCUAGGAGGGGCCCCAGAAAUACCAUGUCCAAUCUUUCAUUUCAGAAACGAGGACAUAGAUGCAGAUGAGGAGAAGUCCAUUGAACACACUCAAGUUAGAACUGCAACUAAAACCCAGGCCUCUAAGUUCCAAAGAAAGAACAUUUCUCCCCUUCUAUUUUUCCUCCAUUCAUAGCGAAGCAGUUUCCUAGAGAGCCAGCAUUUGGGCCCUGCUGGCUUCAUUGAAAGUAGGCAGGCUCAAAAGCUGGAUAUAAUUAGUGAUUUUGAGGAGUUCAAUGCAUGUCCUGGAAAUGGAGAAGAUUGGCAACUGGAGCCCAUACUUUGGCAGAGGCUGAAUGCUGCUUCUAAAACUCCUGGAACAAUAUAGUGCAUUAGCUGGUCCGCCUCCACCUUGAAAUAAAGGCUUCUGGCUCCCAUGGGCUGGGCAAGGCAGAAAGGGAACAACUUGAUUUUCAAAUAAAGACCUUCUUUGAAAAAUUUCCCAGGGGACAUGAUUUGUGGGAUCAUAGCCCAGUGCACUUCUUCCACCAGACACCCUGGUUUUGGAAUAAGGGCACUGAGGCCUAGAGAGGCUUAUAUUAUUGAGGGUUAGGAAUACAUUUUGAGGUUGCCCCUUUUUUGCUGGUCCUGGUGCUUGUCACCAGAAAGAGGCAGAUUCCUGAAGGGAGCCAGCUGGGUCCUCAGCAAACUGAAUAGCAUGGGAGGGGCCCACAUGGCAUUAGUG